UCCCUAGAUGACGACACAGGAGACCAUCACGUGUCUCACCUACAGGAAACACGUGCCCGCCCCAGCUAAGUCUGAGAAUUCACGCAGGGGAGGGGCCCGUCUGGGAGAUGGAGAUCACUCACCACGGUCACCCAGACGAGGCCUCUGGGUGGGUACAUAGAGCAUCAGCUUGGGGCCCGGGGCAUGCACGACUCGGGCUAGGUCUGCCUGGGAUCCAGGUCCAGAAUUCUAGUGCUAAAUGCCAAGGAAGCCAGCAGGCGUCAGUGUGUUCAUCAAACAGAUGAGACGCUUACAGCUCAGAGGUGUGAAGCUACUCACCCAGAGCCACACAGCUCUAAGGGAGGAGAUUCUGCUCAGAUCUGCCCGGGAGGCAGCAGGAGGAGCUCCGGAAGCAGAGGGAAGGCAGUGACAGGAAAUGACAGGAAUUGAAUGAGAGAAGGUGUCCGGCGCACGGGGAGGAAGGAAACUGAGGAUGGACCCACCUCGUGGCCUCUGGAAGGCGGACUGGACCAGCCCGUACUGGAAGGUGGGGCGGGCUCAGGGGCGCUGUCCCCAUUCCCGCAUCCAGCCGGCUCCUUCCCUGCAGCACAGGUGGGCCACCGGCUACCCAGGACCCUCAGGCUCCCACAGGGUGGCCCCCUGAAGGCAGGCGGAUUGCUGGAGCUGACGAAGUCCUGGAAGACUUUCCCUCAUGGCUGUGCUUCCCCGUCCUUCUUGCUCUAAUGAGCAGCUGCCCCUCUCCACCAUCCCCUGCAGGUGAGCCAAGCCCGCAGGUGCCAGCAGGACCGGGAGGAGUGGCGGCAGGGUAACCGAGGCACCAGGGAUGCGAAUUCACACGGUGCCCGGGAGCAGAGGCCAAGCCCUUUCCCAGCAGGCGGGGCCACGCGGGGAGGCGGGGAGGCUGGUGCCCGCCCAGAGCUCCGGGAAUUCCCACGCGCCUGACCCAUCGGGGGCAGAGUCACGGUGACUCACGCACCCAGGUGUUCCGGGUGAUGCUUCAUGCUGGGCGUGGGGCCUGUCACAGGUGAGCUUGACUGAAGGAGCUGGAAAAGCCGCACAUUUCACUUGAUUCUUGUCACUGUCUUGCCCCAGGGAGGGCUGUGCAGAUGGCCAGCAGUCACCAGGCGAGGUCUCUCCCUAAGGCAGGUGGGUGUCCGCACCCGCAAGAGAUCAUCUUGCUCUAGAGCUGUGUUUCCCAGCGCUGUGUCGGCAGCUUUUCAGACUUACUCACUGUGCCCCGGGCGCCCCCGGGAGCUGACUGGAUCCCUGGCUGUUUCUGUGAAGGGACUGAGUGAAACCAUUGUGCAUUCAGAGCCGGGACCACCGCGGCCUCAAGCACGAGGGUCACGGCCGAGCCCUCCCAGCACACAGCUCUUCUGUGGCACGUGGCCCCUGCUGCUGUCACCUGCACGCAGUAGGUGAUGUCCCCUCUCUACAGGCACACAGAGAGGGGUGGUCGUGGACCCAAGGACCCUCCCCUUCACUGACGGUCCUGCAAACUCCCUAACACUCUCGCACAGGAUUUUUUACUGAUGUUUCUGGAAAUCUUACCAGCGAAGGGCAAAAAAUUAAAGUCUGGCAAAUGAAUGUUAUCCCCAGAUUCUAGAAGGAAAGUCCCUCUGCUUAGAUCCUUUAAAGAGCUGGUCCUUCCCCAGUGUGUUCUUCCCUUUCCAGCCUCAGUCUCCUGCACCCAGGAUGUCCUCCUUCAGCCCAUCCUCAUGCUCGCCUACAAGCCUACCUGCUCUCCACCCACCACCUCCUUCCAUUCACUGAACACGCUGGAGCCACGCCCCAGCCCCCACCCCGGGCAGCCGGAUGACAACCAGGAGUGUCUGGGAAGCUGGGAGGGGCUGGGAUUUCCAGGGAUGGUGUGGGUGGUCCCACACCUCAGGCUUGCUUCGUAUGCACCUGCAGGGUGAGAGCUCACAAGCUAUCUCCUGGGAUCCUGAACCAGUUAGAUAGAAUAUCUGUGCAGGUCCCCAGGACAGAUGUGAGGUUUUGACAACAGUGCGGCCUUCACUCAGAGUGAGGAAGGAGGAAAUAGUUCCCUAAUUGCUAAGAUGUUUCUCAUUUCCAGAAGAGUCAGGAACUCGUUGUUCAACAAAGGAGCAUUUGGUUUCUGUCCUGAGGCUUGCUGGGAUCCUGAAGGAGCACUGCCACUCCCUUUGUGUCCCAGGAGGUAAAGCUAGAUUCUUCCAGUGAAGAUCCAAUCAAAUGGUCAUGUCUUCCUGGAGCAGGUGAGGACAGUGGGCCGGAGAAGUUGGGAACUUCAAGAACAGCAAAUAAAGUAGGGGAUAGGAAAAUGGUCAGCCGUCCAGUUUACUUGCCCAUGUGGAAAUAAAAAUAGAAAUAGGUUUCUCACACUAGAGAAAGAGAUUUUCUCUUUGAAAGAGACUGUUUCCAAAGGAUGAAGAAAUGCCAAUAACCAUCUGUGAGCUCAUACUUGUGUGGCAGAUGGAUAGAGCCGGAGGGAUAAAAAAGAGAAGGUUGAUUCAUAUCUCUGUUACAUUAUUCUUCAUGAAUCUUCCAUGGAUGUAUCACUAGAGAGCUAUGUGGCCAGGUUUUUUGACAGAAGCAGGGCUGGGUGUUCUGGUCAUACUGUCCCACGAUAACCUUGGAGGCACCUGAUGGCCAAAGAGGAAGGGUUUCCUGCCAGAAAAUCCCCCUAGCUGGCUAUAGGGGGUGGUCCUAAGAGUUAGAAACACCACAGCCUGCCAGGAAGAGACCUCUGAUAUGGAGAGACCCUGAGACACAAGACCACUGCAUUGCCCUCAAAAGCAGAGGUAGAGAAACCACCAGGCAGGACACAGACACACAGUGAUAAAAACUGAGAACACAGUAAGACACAGAUAAUGGCAGACACAAGAACUCAGAGACAGAGAUAAAAAGAGGCAGAGAGAAAGUGAGAGCAAAGCAGAGGACUGAACUCAAUCCUCAGAAACAGGGAAAAGAGAUGAGGAAAAGAUAUAGGUGUUAGGGGACGGUAUUAGGAAAACACAGACAAUUCCAGUUAGGCUGAAAUGAAGGAUAUUAUCAGGGUACACGUAAUCAUUUUUGCUGGUUGAGAAAACGGUUGGCUUUGCAGUGGGUCUGCAGGCUGAUACUUGGAGCGUCCACAUCUCCCUGGGAAGAGGCCAAUAUUAACAGUCAGUAAAGUGACACUUUUAAUAGAAACUUCAGGCAACCAAACAAGGCAGCCUGUGACACUGAGCACCAAUUCUCUUGAAGAAAAUCUAGUUCCAAAGAGGCUACAGAACCAACUGGACAGAAGCAAAUGUCGCCCCUUCGGAAAGUAGUGCACGCCUUCCUGCCCCCCCCCCCCCGCCCCAGGGGCCUCUCCUGUUCAUUAUGAACACAAUGGGCAGGUGGUCCCCAAAUAUCAGUCUCCGGGAGAAUUAAAAUCCAGGCCAUCAUCAAAGUUACUUUUCUAAAAUACAUACUGUGUGUGAAACCAUCUAGAUAUUUUUGUUAAUUCCCCUCCCCCUCUCCCCACCGUUUUUAUAGUUUGUUGUUGGGUGGACAAGUUCCGUAGCUGGGUGUGCAGGUCUGAGCAGGUGUCGUGAGCUAUGCCUAUGUGUGCAUAAGUAGCGUGCUAAAGCCAAGAGCUGGCCCCAGGCCAGAGUAUUUCUUAAAGCAUAUAUCUUGUGAAAUGCUUAAAACAAAACACAAAUAUGCCCUCAACACAAGAUAAGUUUUGAGUCAUGGUAGUUCAAAUCAGAGGGCACAUACAUCCAUGUCUUAGACUGUUUUUCCUGAGCUGGUAAUGCCUUGCACUCGAAAGAAUGAGAAUCCAAAUGCAGGCAAUAUAGAAAAACAGAAACCAUGGGUACAACAACCGUGAGAGGGUGGAGAGGGAGGAGGCGGAUGGAGAAAAGGAACGAGAAUCAAGGGGUCACAGAGAUUGGGUCAGAGAUGAGUUCCACCAGGUAAGAGGGGGUAGUGAGGCCCUGCACGCAGUAGAAAAAGGGAACACUUUUCCAGCCGUUAUGUAUAUGGAACUGAGGAAAUGUAAGACAAGUGUAGCUUCUAUCUGAGCUAGAGAGAAUUCUGUGCGUGUGUGCGUAUGUGUGUGCGUGCACACGAGUGUGCAUGGGAGCAUGCAAAGUAUGUUUUUCUGUAAAGGUUGCGGGAGGGAGGUGAGGUCUUCCAGAUGUGUGGCAGAGAGAGGGAAGAACCCAGGCUUUAUUGCAAAGCACUGGUACCGCCUGUCCAGGCUCUAAGCUGGGGCUUUCGCGAGGUCCAUACAGCAGAACUUGUGGGUACAGACUAUGACACAGCAUUUCACAAAGGGCACAGGGAGCCAAAAAAGGGCCAGUGUCCUUGACUCAAAACAUAACCGAAGGUAAAAGAAGACCUUUGCUCUGUUAUAGGAAACAUCUCAAGGCAAGCUCAGACAUAACUUAAGUGACUCCUUAAAGCCCAUCCAAGCCAGGCAUUUUGAAGAGGUGAGACAGGCCAGUGAAUGAUAAUGAAUGCAGGUUCUGACUUAGGGGGCUUGUAUUCUGCGUAAAGGGGCAAGAGAUCUUUGGAUACACCUUGAUGUUCCCAUGUAGCCUUGUGGGCCCUAGUGGUUACAUCAUCGAAUUUCUCUGGGGAAGUCAGGGAUAUGGAUUUUUAUACAGAAUCUUUACUCCUUUAGAUGUUGACAAUUAAUCGUCAGAAUAAGUUGGGAGACUAUAUUUCCCCCAUGGGUUUCCAAUUCAUUCGAUGCAGAUAUCACUGUGACUCAGUUCAAUGAGCUAUGAAGAUUUAGACUUGUAAUAACCUCAGAAAUUCAUGAUUCCCAUGCCCUUGGCAGGCAGAGAGGAAGUGGAGGGUCCAGAUGGGUGAACAACUAACCUAAAUUUGCACAAAGCCUGGCACCAGAGCACAGGUCUCCAAAGUCUUGUAUUGUUUAUACCGUACCGCACGGUGGUAGUUAUCCAUUGCACAACAGCACAUGCCGAGUAUCUGUGGGUUUCAGUGGGUUGUGGGAACUGUGCACAGUGUGGCCGGGUGCUUCUGGAUCAGGACACUCCGGAAGUUGGGGUCAAGCUGUGAGUUCAUCUGAAAGCUCAUCAGAGAAGGAUCCCCUUCUUCAGGCUCACUCACGUGGCUGUUGGCAGAAGUAGAUUCCUUGAAAGCUGUGAGAUUGAGGGUCUCUUGAGCUCCUCACUGGGUUGGCCAAAAGUUUCCCUCAGUUUCUUGCCAAAAGGGCCUCUCUGUACGGCAGCUGUAAAUAUGGCACCUGGCUUCCCUCAAAGUCAGAAGAGGGCACCCCAAGUUCAAUCCACAGUCUUUUUAUAACCUGAUCCCAGAAGUGGCAUCCAUCACUACUGCCUCAUUCUGUGUGUUAGAAAUGAGUCAACAAGGACAACCCACAAGGAAAGGGAAAGGAUGACACAAGAGCAUGAAUUCUAGAAGGUAGGGAGGAUUAGGGGCCUUCUGAGAGGCUGCCCACACCCUCAUUGUCUCCCAAACGCAUGCCAGGGGUCCACAAGCCAUGGCCCACUGGCUAAAUCCAGCUGCUACCUACCUGUUGUUGGAAAUAAAGUUUUAUUGGAACAAAGCCACGCCCAUCUGUUCGCAUGUUGCUCAUGGUGGCUUUUGUCCCACACCUGCAGAGCUGAGCAACUACCACAGAAACUGUAUGAUCAGCAAAACCUAAUAUUUUUUUUGUACUUUAUAGCCCUUCACAGAAAAAGUUUUCUCUUUCCUGGUGUAUGCAAGCAUAAAACCUUUUUUUAAAUAUGGAAGAAGAGAUUGAUAGAUGCCAACGUCAUCAUUAGCUUGAAUUUCUCUCGAUGCCCUGGCAUCGUAAAUGCCAUAGUGAACACUUCCACGAGGCACUUAUCUGGGAAUUCUCCAAACAGAAGCAGUCCUGUAGUCUGGGUCAAGCAGAUGUGAAGUAUGGCUUCCAUCACCGGUCCUGUGGCAUUCUUUUCCACCCCAUGUAUCAGCAUACACCUUUCCAUUGGAAACCCCUCUCAUGAAACCUUUGGCCAAAAACACGGAUAUAAAACAUAGUUAUGUGUAAGUGCUGAAUCACUAAACUGUACACCCAAAACUAACAUUACACUGUGUGUUAACCAACCAACUUGAAAAACUCAAACAAACAUAGUGAUAAGGACAUCAAGUAGUAGAGUGGCAUAGUCAUAAUUCAGCAUAAUCCGUGAACCUGACCAAUCUGGGCUCCAAACUUGAAUUUUACCAAGUUACUUCAUUUCUCUUAGCCCCAAUUUCCUUAUCCUUAAAAUCUAGAUUGUAAUACUGACCUCACACGUUUUUCUCACAGAAAGGCAUGAAAGCACCAGUCACAGUGUUAAGCACAAAUAACAGUUCGAUAGAUGCCAAUCGUUAUGUGUGAAAACAUUUGAUGGUUUCCCAUCGCCUUUUGCAAUAGUUGCUAAUAGAUUUAUUUCAAGUACCAGUUGUGAUUAAAUAAUAGUGGCAGAAGUCCUAUGUGGUUUUUUUUUUCUUUUUUCUUCUUCUU